CAGGCUUAACACAUGCAAGUCGAGGGGCAGCAUGGUCUUAGCUUGCUAAGGCCGAUGGCGACCGGCGCACGGGUGAGUAACACGUAUCCAACCUGCCGUCUACUCUUGGACAGCCUUCUGAAAGGAAGAUUAAUACAAGAUGGCAUCAUGAGUCCGCAUGUUCACAUGAUUAAAGGUAUUCCGGUAGACGAUGGGGAUGCGUUCCAUUAGAUAGUAGACGGGGUAACGGCCCACCUAGUCUUCGAUGGAUAGGGGUUCUGAGAGGAAGGUCCCCCACAUUGGAACCGAGACACGGUCCAAACUCCUACGGGAGGCAGCAGUGAGGAAUAUUGGUCAAUGGGCGAGAGCCUGAACCAGCCAAGUAGCGUGAAGGAUGACUGCCCUAUGGGUUGUAAACUUCUUUUAUAAAGGAAUAAAGUCGGGUAUGGAUACCCGUUUGCAUGUACUUUAUGAAUAAGGAUCGGCUAACUCCGUGCCAGCAGCCGCGGUAAUACGGAGGAUCCGAGCGUUAUCCGGAUUUAUUGGGUUUAAAGGGAGCGUAGAUGGAUGUUUAAGUCAGUUGUGAAAGUUUGCGGCUCAACCGUAAAAUUGCAGUUGAUACUGGAUAUCUUGAGUGCAGUUGAGGCAGGCGGAAUUCGUGGUGUAGCGGUGAAAUGCUUAGAUAUCACGAAGAACUCCGAUUGCGAAGGCAGCCUGCUAAGCUGCAACUGACAUUGAGGCUCGAAAGUGUGGGUAUCAAACAGGAUUAGAUACCCUGGUAGUCCACACGGUAAACGAUGAAUACUCGCUGUUUGCGAUAUACGGCAAGCGGCCAAGCGAAAGCGUUAAGUAUUCCACCUGGGGAGUACGCCGGCAACGGUGAAACUCAAAGGAAUUGACGGGGGCCCGCACAAGCGGAGGAACAUGUGGUUUAAUUCGAUGAUACGCGAGGAACCUUACCCGGGCUUAAAUUGCAGAUGAAUUACGGUGAAAGCCGUAAGCCGCAAGGCAUCUGUGAAGGUGCUGCAUGGUUGUCGUCAGCUCGUGCCGUGAGGUGUCGGCUUAAGUGCCAUAACGAGCGCAACCCUUGUUGUCAGUUACUAACAGGUUCCGCUGAGGACUCUGACAAGACUGCCAUCGUAAGAUGUGAGGAAGGUGGGGAUGACGUCAAAUCAGCACGGCCCUUACGUCCGGGGCUACACGCGUGUUACAAUGGGGGGUACAGAGGGCCGCUACCACGCGAGUGGAUGCCAAUCCCCAAAACCUCUCUCAGUUCGGACUGGAGUCUGCAACCCGACUCCACGAAGCUGGAUUCGCUAGUAAUCGCGCAUCAGCCACGGCGCGGUGAAUACGUUCCCGGGCCUUGUACACACCGCCCGUCAAGCCAUGGGAGCCGGGGGUACCUGAAGUGCGUAACCGCGAGGAGCGCCCUAGGGUAAAACUGGUGACUGGGGCUAA
rnacentral:rRNA from 1 species